rnacentral:rRNA from 1 species
GAUGAACGCUGGCGGCGUGCCUAAUACAUGCAAGUCGAGCGAACAGACGAGGAGCUUGCUCCUCUUACGUUAGCGGCGGACGGGUGAGUAACACGUGGAUAACCUACCUAUAAGACUGGGAUAACUUCGGGAAACCGGAGCUAAUACCGGAUAAUAUAUUGAACCGCAUGGUUCAAUAGUGAAAGACGGUUUUGCUGUCACUUAUAGAUGGAUCCACGCCGCAUUAGCUAGUUGGUAAGGUAACGGCUUACCAAGGCGACGAUGUGUAGCCGACCUGAGAGGAUGAUCGGCCACACUGGAACUGAGACACGGUCCAGACUCCUACGGGAGGCAGCAGUAGGGAAUCUUCCGCAAUGGGCGAAAGCCUGACGGAGCAACGCCGCGUGAGUGAUGAAGGUCUUCGGAUCGUAAAACUCUGUUAUUAGGGAAGAACAAAUGUGUAAGUAACUAUGCACGUCUUGACGGUACCUAAUCAGAAAGCCACGGCUAACUACGUG